rnacentral:rRNA from 1 species
CAGAGGGGGCAAGCGUUAUUCGGAAUUAUUGGGCGUAAAGGGCGCGUAGGCGGCUUGGCAAGUGGAAGGUGAAAUCCCUCGGCUUAACCGAGGAACUGCCUUCCAGACUGCUUUGCUUGAGGCCGGGAGAGGCGAGUGGAAUUCCCAGUGUAGCGGUGAAAUGCGUAGAUAUUGGGAGGAACACCAGUGGCGAAGGCGGCUCGCUGGACCGGUUCUGACGCUGAGGCGCGAAAGCGUGGGGAGCAAACGGGAUUAGAUACCCCGGUAGUCCACGCCGUAAACGAUGAAUGCUUGGUGUGGCGGGUAUCGAUCCCUGCCGUGCCGAAGCUAACGCAUUAAGCAUUCCGCCUGGGGAGUACGGUCGCAAGGCUG